rnacentral:lncRNA from 1 species
UAUAUCAAAAGAAAGAAUAGAAAUGAGAAAGAAAGAAACAGAGAGCAAAACGAAACAGAGAAUGGAGAAAGAAGAAAAAGAAAGAGAGCGACGGUUUAGGGGUUUCAAAACUUCUAAAUUCAAUUGGUAAGUUAAUUUAGUCCCUUUUUCUUAUGGUUUUGAUAUUUUUGGUAUCCUAGAACAAAAUACUACUUGAUUUAAGUUGAAAUUUUGGAAGUUAGUAAAUUUUUAGAUGUUGUUCAUGUUGAAUUAAUUGAUGAAUUAGAGGUUAAAAUGAUUGAAUUUUAAGUUAGAAGUUAGUAGAAGGUUGAUUUGUAAAAUAAAACAUAAGUUUUGAAUUAAUAGGGACUAAAUUGAGAGAAUUUUGAAAUUAGGGAUUUAUGAUGAAAAUGAAGAAUUAAAAUGAGUAUAUAGUGAGAAUUAAGAGAGAAUAUGGAGUUAAAUUAGGAAAAAUAAAAUUAGUAUUGAUAAGGGAUUAAAUUAGAGUUUAUGUAAAGUUUAGGUAUAAAUGGAAAUAUUUUAAUGGAAUUGUGUAUUAAUAAUUUUUAAUUGUUUAAUUACAUAGCUAAUGUCGUGCAAUAGUCAUUGUCCGAGAAAUGAAAGGAGCAGGUGGACAAGGAUUGACUCGAGAGAAAUUUCGGUUAGUAUUACUAUAAUUCAAAUUUAAUUAUUAAUUGUUAAAAUUUAAAUUAAUAUACAUGAUAAGCAAAUUGAGGUAAGAAUCAUGAUUGAAUUAAAUGAAAAAUACGUAUUGGUAUUGAAAUUAUAAAUAGCAAUUGUUGAAUUUUGAAUAAUAUGUUUAGUAAAUAAAAAUAAGGUGAAUAUUGAUAUUGAAUUGUAUGUGAAUUGAAUGGAAAUUAUUAGUGAUAUGAUUUGAAUUAAAAGAAUUAAUGCGAUAUUGAAUUGUAUGUUGAUUGAAAAGUAAUUAGUGAUUUGAAUUUCAUUAAAUAAAUAAAUAAAUAAAAUAUAAAAUAUGAAUUGAAUAAAAGUGAAUUAAAAUAUGAAAAAGUGUGAAUACAUGAAUCGAAGUAUGAUUACAUGUGAAUGUCGGGAAUAUCUAUUGGUAGAUUAGAAAGUGGAAAGUAAAUUUGAAUUGAAAUGUGAUUAUUGAAUAGAAAUUGAAAUGGUUUGAAUUGAAUUAUUGAAUUGAACUGGAAUAUUGAAAUUGGUGAUUGAUAUGGAUUUUAUUAGAAUUGAAAUUGAGAAUGUGGAGAUUGAUAUGUGAAACUGAUACUGAACUGAAUUAUGGAAUACUUAAUAUUGUUAUGUGUACUGCAUUGAACUGUGAAAAUACUGAAGCAAUGAAUUACUGCAAUACUGUGAAACUGAUUGGAAUAAUGAAUUUAUAAUUGAUACUGAACUAAUAUGGAAAUUUUACUGGAAAGUAAAUUAAAUACCCUAUUAACUAGUCGGGCUAGUCGGAUAUAGUUGGCAUGCCAUAGGAUAUGGAAGAGUACGGGUUAUUGCCGGCUUACUGAUCAGGCACUUAUGUGCCGACUACUGUUACUGUUACUGAUUCGAUACUUUGUGUGUCGAAUAUUGUUACUGUUACUGUUACUGCUACCGUUACUGUUUACUGAUCAGGUACUAUGUACCGUAUUAGGCACUAUGUGCCGUAUUGGUGUGAUUGGUUGGAAUCCGUGUAUCCGUCAAAGUCCGAGUCAAGUUAAUAGGGGUAAAUGAAUAAUUUUGAUAAUAUAAAUUUUAUUGCAUGAUCUUGAAUAUGAAUUGAAAUAAGACAUUAAAUUGAGGUAUUGAAAUGAAAUGUAUGAACCAUGGGUUCAAGAAAUAGAUAAUGAUAUAGUUCAUGAAAUACUUUUGGUAGUAUGAGAUGAUGUAAAAAUAUAAGCAAAGAGAAGCAAACUGAAAUAGCCAUUGUUGAGAAAUGAGAAAUAAAAAAAUGAAAAUAAAAUGAUUUGAAAUAGUGAAAUAAUAUGUGAAUUUAAUUGAAUACAAGUUAUUGAAAUUUAUUUAUGGAUUUAAUGUAUAAAUUGAGUGUUAGAAGAUUAUAAGUGUAAAUUGAUUAUAAAUGAACGAAUCGAACUGAAAAAUAGUUGUUAUUAUUAUUAUUGUUGUUGAAACAAGUUGAUUUAAUAUAUUAAAUGUUUAUUAAAAGAUUAAAAGUAUAAAUUGAAUAUAAAUAGAAAUGAUAAUGAAUGAGUUGAUAAAUUGAUUGGAUUUGUAUGAACUGGAAUGAGUUAUUAGAAUGAGAUGUGGAAAAAUCUAAUAAAUUUUUUUAUAGUGAAAUAAGUUCUGAAUACACUUAAAUAUAAGACUGAAAUAUUGCUUAUUGUUAUUAAUGAUCAAGUUGAUUUAAAGUAUGGGAUAAUUAAUGAAUAAUUGUAGACAUAAAUUAAAUGUAUAUAAUUUAUCCAUUAAUGUUAUUAAUUUGAAUUAUGGUAAUACCACUGAGUAUUCCCAUACUCAGCGUACGGUUGUUUCCGUGCGCAGGUUAGUAGGAAGCCAGUGCUCGGUCCAGCAUCCAGAGUAAUCCCGACCUCAGAGAAAUUUUGGUGAUGUACUUUUGUUUUGAUAAUGUGGCAUGUACCUAAGUGAUAUAUAGGUUAAGUAUAAGAGUUUUGUGAUUGUGGUUUUAGAACGAUGUUUUAAAUUGAUUAUAAGUAUGAAAUGGAACUAAUAUGACAUAUUUGAUUAAAGUAUGUUAUGUCUGUUAUUUAUUUGUGAAUUAGUUAUAA